rnacentral:rRNA from 1 species
UGGGGAAUAUUGCACAAUGGGCGAAAGCCUGAUGCAGCAACGCCGCGUGAGUGAUGAAGGUCUUCGGAUUGUAAAGCUCUGUCUUUUGGGACGAUAAUGACGGUACCAAAGGAGGAAGCCACGGCUAACUACGUGCCAGCAGCCGCGGUAAUACGUAGGUGGCGAGCGUUGUCCGGAUUUACUGGGCGUAAAGGGUGCGUAGGCGGAUGUUUAAGUGAGAUGUGAAAUACCCGGGCUUAACUUGGGUGCUGCAUUUCAAACUGAAUAUCUAGAGUGCAGGAGAGGAGAAUGGAAUUCCUAGUGUAGCGGUGAAAUGCGUAGAGAUUAGGAAGAACACCAGUGGCGAAGGCGAUUCUCUGGACUGUAACUGACGCUGAGGCACGAAAGCGUGGGUAGCAAACAGGAUUAGAUACCCUGGUAGUCCACGCCGUAAAACGAUGAGUACUAGGUGUAGGAGGUAUCGACCCCUUCUGUGCCGCAGUAAACACAUUAAGUACUCCGCCUGGGAAGUACGAUCGCAAGAUUAAAACUCUAAAGUGAAUUGAC